rnacentral:rRNA from 1 species
UACCAGCACCCCGAGUGGUCGGGACGAUUAUUGGGCCUAAAGCAUCCGUAGCCGGCCUUACAAGUCCUCCGUUAAAUCCAGCUGCUUAACAGAUGGGCUGCGGAGGAUACUAUGAGACUAGGAGGCAGGAGAGGCAAGCGGUACUCAGUGGGUAGGGGUAAAAUCCGUUGAUCCAUUGAAGACCACCAGUGGCAAAGGCGGCUUGCCAGAAUGCGCUCGACGGUGAGGGAUGAAAGCUGGGGGAGCAAACCGG